rnacentral:rRNA from 1 species
GGGGAAUAUUGGUCAAUGGGCGAAAGCCUGAACCAGCAAUGCCGCGUGAGUGAUGAAGGCCUUCGGGUUGUAAAGCUCUGUCAGUGGGAACGAAUAAACCGAUUAAUACCCGGCGAUGACGGUACCCACAAAGGAAGCACCGGCUAACUCUGUGCCAGCAGCCGCGGUAAUACAGAGGGUGCAAGCGUUGUUCGGAAUUACUGGGCGUAAAGCGCGUGUAGGCGGUCCUUCAAGUCGGACGUGAAAUCCCUGGGCUUAACCCAGGAACUGCGUUCGAAACUGCUGGACUAGAGUAUCGGAGGGGAUGGUGGAAUUCCUGGUGUAGAGGUGAAAUUCGUAGAUAUCAGGAGGAACACCUGUGGCGAAGGCGACCAUCUGGAAGAUUACUGACGCUGAGACGCGAAAGCGUGGGGAGCAAAC